GUCCCCGCCCGUCCAGCAUCUUGCCUUGGCCUCCUCUGGCCCGGGACUGCCGGGUUUUAGCUCUCCUCGCCGCCGAGGGCUCUGGCUCUCUCUCGCUAGAGGGAUGCCACCGCCCUGUCCUCCCGUCCUCGGCGUUGCCUUCCCCUCCCUCUCCCACUGACGCCUUGAAAACCCUUAUUUGCGCAUUCACUCACGCUUGAGGGUUAAAAGAUUAAGAGUUUCUCUAACUACGGCUACCCUACAAAAGUCACAUUUUCCCCCUUUUUCCAGUCACUCUCUGAAAGAGAACAAAGUAAUUUUCUGAAGGGAAGCUGCAGAAUAUGGAAAACAUAUAUUGGAGCUACAUGGACUUCAUGGAGCAAAAAUAAUAUCCUUGAGGCCAGGCACAAUGGCUCACACCUGUAAUCCCA
rnacentral:lncRNA from 1 species